AAAUGAAAAUAGACAAGGGGUAAGGGGAAAGAUGGUGGUCUCGUAUCAAUGGUGUGACGGGCAUUGGUACGAGUACCGGUGUUAUAAAAGGAAAAUUUCUAUUAUAGAAUGUGGAUUAGAAUUUGAGAAUGCCAAAGCAGAUGAGCAUUAGCUGAUAUAUUAUUGAUUUGGAUUCCUUGUGUGAUUGUGUUUUAUUUAAUUCACCCGUAUAGUUGUGAUAAUUGAGGUGGUUAUGUAUUAUGUUCAUAUUGAUUGAUUGAGAUGCAUCAUCAUCCCCUUUAUUGAAAUAAUAUUGUGCACAUGCAUAGACAUGAGACUGAGUAUAAGUUGGGCACGUGGAGAUCGUCCGUGCUGGGGAUGGUGAGAUGUUAAGAUUGUAAUUUGGGCACGUGGAGACCGUCCGUGCGAAAAUUGUUUGAUAUUAUGAUAGUGUGUUGAGAUCGUCCGCACAGACACGUGGAGAUCGUCCGUGUCGGUAUAUGGACCUCGCGAGUCCCCCAUGGGUCAUGAACUCUCGAUGUAUUUCCGAGGAGUAUCAUGUAUAUACGGUUGAGUGAGUACUGGGUAUUCUGAGACAUAUCAUUACAUGGCAUCAUAUUGCAUUGCAUUUCAUCCCAUCAUUCUUUCUUGAUGACUAUAGGUUUCGUUUGGUGUUUGGAAAAUAUUAAAUGUUGAUUUCCUUUAUUGAUGAAACUUAAGUAGUAAGUGUAAUAUAUAUAUAUAUAUAUAUACUUGUACAAUCUAAGAAUUAUUUUCUUAUAUAACUCCCGUCACUACUUCUUCGUGUCGGUCAAUGAGACAUACUGAGUACACGUGGUUUCGUACUCAUACUACACUUGUUGCACUCUUUGUGGUGCAGAUUCGAUUCCAAGUAGGAGCACAUCUCGAGGAGCAGUUUGAGUCCGAGUUUGGAGUGUCUUGGAGUUGUGGUGAGCUGCUUGGCUGUUCCGUGGCCCACACCUCCCUCUAUCUUUUACUUAUUCUGUUAUUCAGUAUUCAGACAGGAUAUCCCUUAUGUUAGAUUUGCCUUUUUGGUUUCAGACUUGCAUCGUAUUUUAGAAGCUCUUGUACUCAUGACACCAUUUCUUGGGUAGUAUUUUUUUUUCAGUUUUCCGCAUUCGUACUUAUAAGAACUCAGUGUUGGAGAUUUGGAAAUUUUUGUCUUUUCACUUCUUGUUAGUUAAGUUUGUUAAAAUAUGUUGGUUGGCUUACCUAUUGGUUGGGAAUAUAGGUGCCAUCACGACUCGUGAUUUUGGGUCGUGACAAAUUUGGUAUCAGAGCUCUAGGUUCAUCGGUCUCAAGAGUACAAGAGCAAUGUCUAGUAGAGUCUUGCGGAUCGGUAUGAAGACGUCCAUACCUAUCUUCGAGAGGCUAUAGGACAUUUAGGAAAUAUUCUGUUCUUUUAUUCCUUAUCGUGCACACUUGACCUUGUAGAAAUUCUAAUCUUGAUAUCUCAUUCUCUCUCAGAUGGCGAGGAAUCGUACGUCGGCAAGUGGUGGUCAGGAUCCUAAUCCUGCGCCUGCUUCUGGGAACCCUAUCCGAGGUAGAGGUAGGGGACGAGCUCGAGGUCGGGGUAGGGGCCGUGUUGCAGCACCUGUGGAUGUUCAAGUACCAGUAGCUACCCAGGGUCGUGAUAGGACCGUACCUCCUGAUGCAGAGGUUAUUCAUGGGGAUGUGCAAGAUCGUGUCGAGGGGGAUGGGCCAGCUCAGGCUCCAACCAGUACUAUUGUUCCCCCAGUGCUUCAAGAUACCCUGGCUCGUAUGUUAGGAAUCCUAGAGGGGAUGGCCCAGGCAGGAGCUUUCCUGUCACUUCUGAUGGCUCACAGACCCGUGUUGGAGGUCAAACUCCAGAUCCGAUAGUUGCUCCAGAUUCUCAGACUCCCAGGACUCAGCCAGCUGCCGCUGUAGCUCCUCGUUUGGAUAGUAUGGAGUUUCCAGAUAUGACAUCACAUUUGGUGAACAGGCCUUCUAUGACUAUUGAUGAGCAAAAGAUGUUUGGGAGGUUCAGACUAAUGAAUCCUCCUACUUAUACUGGUGACUUAGCUGAGGAUGCAUAUGAGUUUAUAGUUAGUUGUCAUGAGAGGUUGCAUAAUCUUGGAUUAGUGGAGUCUCAUGGAGUUGACUACACAGCGUUUCAGAUGACUGGCUCUGCUAAGCAGUGGUGGAGGGAUUAUAUUAGUAGUAGGCCAGCUGGAUCUCAUCCACUAUCCUGGACUGAGUUUACUCAGGUAUUUCUAUCCAAAUUUGUUCCACGCAGUGAGAGGGAGCGCAAGAGGGCCGAGUUUGAGGGUUUGCAGCAAAAUGGUAUGUCAGUUGCAGAGUAUGAGGGUAAAUUUCAUGCCUUGGCUAGGCAUGCUUCGAUGAUACUUCCCACAGAGGCUGAGAGAGUGAGGAGGUUUGUUAAGGGGCUGAUUAUUCCAUUCGUCUAGGAGUUUCUCAGGUUGCUGCUUCUGGUGUUCCAUUCCAGAAAGUGGUAGAUGCUGCUAAGGAGUUGGAGAUGAUUCGACGUGAGGGAUUUGAGCAGCGAGAGGGCAAGAGGACUCGUUAUUCAGGUGAUUAUGGUGGUGCUCCGUCUAGGAGUCGGGGUUACUUGGGCAGAGGUUAUCACCCUCAGUCCAGCAGACCCAUUCAUGCUGCCAUACCAGCGUCUGAGGCUGGUUACGCUGGGCAUAACUCUUCGAGCUCGGUACAUACUUCGCAGGGUUCAUCUUCUAGACCUGUAGUUCGUGGAGGGCAUUCUGGUCAUUCCGGUUCCUCUCAUCAGCCGGCGUCUCGUAGGGGUUGCUUUGAGUGUGGUGAUAUGGGACACUUUGUGAGAGACUGCCCUAGGACCAGACGUGGUGGCUUACAUCAGGGUUCUCAGGUUUCGACUUCCAGGGCUGCACAACCUCCAGCUAGGGGUGGUGCACAGAAUGGUAGAGGUGGUUCUCAUUCAGGUAGAGGUGGUUCUCCUUCUGGUCGAGGUGGUGGUCGUGGAGGUCCACAAUCUGAUGGAAGUCGUUCUCACUGUUAUGCUUUUCCAGGUAGGCCAGAGGCUGAAGCCUCAGAUGCUGUUAUCACAGGUAUUAUUCCGGUUUGUCAUCGACCAGCUACUGUAUUAUUUGAUCCAGGCUCUACUUAUUCUUAUGUGUCCACAUAUUUUGCUCCUAGUCUGGAUAUAUAUGUGUGAGUCUCUUGAUUUGCCGAUACGUGUUUCUACUCCUGUCGGGGAUUCUGUAGUUGUAGAUCAAGUGUAUCGUUUAUGUACUGUUACUUUGAUGGGGUAUGACACUCAUGCAGAUUUAAAGGUCUUAGAAAUGAUAGAUUUUGAUGUGAUUCUUGGUAUGGAUUGGUUAUCUUCUUACCACGCAAUUUUAAAUUGUCAUGCCAAGACCAUCACUUUAGCUAUGCCUGGAAUUCCUAUAGUAGAAUGGAGAGGUACUCUUAGUCAUCCUUCUAAGGGUGUGAUAUCAUUCCUUAAGGCUCGUCAGUUGGUACAGAGAGGAUGUUUGGCUUACUUGGCCCAUAUUCGAGAUACUAGUAUUGAGACUCCUAUGCUUGAGUCUAUUCCAGUGGUGAGUGAAUUUUCAGAGGUAUUCCCGACCGAUUUGCCAGGUCUUCCACCAGAUCGUGAUAUUGAUUUUUGUAUCGAUGUGGAGCCAGGCACUCGGCCUAUUUUAUUCCUCCUUAUCGUAUGGCACCGGCUGAAUUGAAAGAGUUGAAGGAGCAAUUGCAGGAUUUGUUGAGCAAAGGUUUUAUUAGACCAAGUGUAUCUCCUUGGGGUGCUCCAGUGUUAUUUGUGAAGAAAAAGAUGGAUCUAUGCGUAUGUGUAUUGACUAUCGACAGUUGAACAAGGUAACCAUCAGAAAUAAGUAUCCGAUACCUCGUAUUGAUGAUUUAUUUGAUCAGUUACAGGGUGCUUCAGUUUUCUCCAAAAUUGACUUGAGAUCUGGCUAUCAUCAGCUGAAGGUUAGGGCGGAGGAUAUCCCUAAGACGGCUUUUCGAACACGUUAUGGUCAUUACGAGUUUUUGGUGAUGUCUUUCGGAUUGACUAAUGCCCCAGCAGCUUUUAUGGACUUGAUGAAUGGAGUGUUCAGACCGUAUUUAGAUUCCUUUGUUAUUGUCUUCAUAGAUGAUAUAUUGAUAUACUCACGCACUAAGGAGGAACACGAGCAUCAUUUGAGGAUUGUUCUUGGGAUUCUAAAGGAGAAGAAGCUUUAUGCAAAGUUUUCAAAGUGUGAGUUUUGGCUUAGUUCGGUAGCAUUCUUGGGACAUGUAGUGUCCAAGGAGGGUAUCAUGGUGGAUCCUAAGAAGAUUGAGGCGGUUAGAGAUUGGGUCAGACCUACUUCAGUUACUGAGAUUCGGAGUUUCUUGGGCCUUGCAGGUUAUUAUCGACGGUUUGUUGAGGGUUUCUCAUCCAUUGCAUCUCCAUUAACUAGAUUGACACAAAAGGAGGUGACUUUUCAGUGGUCUGACGAAUGUGAGGUUAGUUUCCAAAAGCUCAAGACUUUAUUGACUACUGCUCCAAUUUUGACCCUACCCGUGGAGGGAGAGGGUUUUGUCGUAUAUUGUGAUGCUUCUCGGGUUGGUCUUGGUUGUGUGUUGAUGCAGAAGGGAAGGGUGAUAGCUUAUGCUUCGAGGCAGUUAAAGGUUCAUGAGAAGAACUACCCUAUUCAUGAUUUAGAGUUGGCGGCUGUGGUGUUUGCAUUAAAGAUUUGGAGGCAUUAUCUUUAUGGUGUGCAUUGUGAGGUGUUCACGGAUCAUCGUAGUCUCCAGUAUAUAUUCAAUCAGAGGGAUCUAAAUUUGAGGCAGAGGAGAUGGUUGGAGUUGCUCAAAGACUACGAUAUGACUAUUCUUUAUCACCAGGCAAGCAAAUGUUGUAGCAGAUGCCUUGAGUCGGAAGGCGGUAAGUAUGGGUAGCCUAGCCAUGUUACAGGUUGGCGAGCGUCCUUAGCUAGGGAUGUCCAAUCCCUGGCCAAUAGCUUUGUGAGACUUGAUAUUUCAGAAUCUGGUAAGGUGUUGGCUUAUAUGGAGGCUAGGUCAUCCUUGUUGGAGCAGAUUCGGGCUCAACAGUUUGAUGAUGGUGAUUUAUGUAAGAUUAGGGACAAGGUUUUAAAAGGAGAAGCCAAGGCUGCAAUUCUUGAUAGUGAGGGAGUUUUGAGGAUUAAAGGUCGUAUAUGUGUUCCUCGUACAGGUGAUUUGACUAGAUUGAUCAUGGAGGAGGCUCAUAGUUCGAGGUACUCUAUUCAUCCGGGGGCUACUAAGAUGUAUCGUGACUUGAAGCAACACUAUUGGUGGUGUCGUAUGAAGAGGGACAUAGUAGAUUUUGUAUCUCGAUGUUUAAAUUGUCAGCAAGUGAAGUAUGAACACCAAAAGCCUGGAGGUAUGACUCAGAGGAUGCCCAUACCUGAGUGGAAGUGGGAGCGAAUUGCUAUGGACUUUGUGGUAGGGUUGCCACGUACCUUGGGUAAGUUUGAUGCUAUAUGGGUCAUUGUGGAUCGACUGACUAAGUCUGCACACUUUGUACCAGUUCAGACUACCUAUAACUCAGAAAGGUUAGCCAAGAUUUAUAUUCGGGAGAUAGUUCGUUGCAUGGGGUUCCUAUAUCUAUUAUUUCAGAUCGUGGCACCCAAUUUACAUCUCAUUUCUGGCGGUCUAUGCAGAAAGAGUUGGGCACUCGGGUGGAUCUUAGUACAGCCUUUCACCCUCAGACUGAUGGUCAGUCUGAGCGGACUAUUCAGGUUCUUGAGGACAUGUUGCGGGCGUGUGUGAUUGACUUUGGUGGUCAGUGGGAUCAAUUCUUGCCAUUAGCGGAGUUUGCUUACAAUAAUAGUUAUCAUUCGAGCAUUGAGAUGGCACCAUUUGAGGCUUUGUAUGGUAGGAGAUGUCGAUCUCCAAUUGGUUGGUUUGACGCAUUUGAGGUUAGACCAUGGGGUACAGAUUUGUUAAGGGAGUCCUUGGACAAGGUCAAGUUGAUCCAAGAUAGACUUCUCAUGGCUCAGAGCAGGCAAAAGAGUUACGCAGAUAGGAAGGUUCGUGAUUUGGAGUUUAUGGUUGGAGAAAGGGUUUUACUUAAGGUUUCACCCAUGAAGGGUGUGAUGAGAUUUGGAAAGAAGGGCAAGUUGAGUCCAAGGUACAUUGGUCCUUUCGAGGUUGUGGAGCGUAUUGGUGAGGUGGCAUAUCAGUUGGCUUUGCCACCUGGGUUGUCAGGUGUCCAUCCUGUAUUUCAUAUUUCAAUGCUUAAGAAGUAUCAUCAGGGUGGUGAUCAUGUGAUUCAAUGGGAUUCGGUGUUACUUGAUCAGAAUUUGACUUUUGAGGAGAGCCGAUCACCAUUUUGGAUAGGCAAAUUCGGAAGCUAAGGUCCAAGGAGAUUGCUUCGGUAAAGGUUCAGUGGAAGCAUCGUCCAGUGGAGGAGGCUACAUGGGAGACAGAGGCAGACAUGAGGAGUAAAUAUCCUCAUCUUUUUGAGCGUUCAGGUUAGCUCUUUUCUUUUCCGUUCGAGGACGAACGUUUGUUUUAGUGGUAGGUGAUGUAACGACCCGCUAGGUCGUUUUGAGAACUAGGACUAGUUCGACUCCUUUUGAAAAUUUAAGAGGUAUUUUAAACUAUUUGAUAACUAGGAGUACUUAGUUGAUACAUAUAUCUAUAUUAUAUUAAUAUACUUGAAUAAUAAUUGGGUCAAAUUCUCUUUUUUAAUAACCCUUACCAUUUGACUAUAUAAUUAAAACAAAUCAGUUAGGUUAUUUUAGAAGAAGAACAAAAAAUAAUAAAGGUUAGAAACUACCUGGAGACGAGAGGGACCAACGGCUGCGGAGAACAUUAAUUUCUCCAGGUAAAUCAAUCCAAAUUUGUAAAGGUUUAUGUGUAUUGUAUGGUACACUUGCAUUAAUAUAAUAAAAUAAGAUUUUGAGGGGAUUAAGUGUAAUGUAUAGUCACUAUAAUGUUUUUUUUUAAACUAUAAUUUGGCAUAGGAUUUAUUUUGAUAAUGGCGGCCAAUGAUUGCUUAAUCAUUGGAUACAAUUGGUUAUCAUGCACUUAUAUGCAUAUUCCUUUACAAGUUAGACAUUUGACAGUACCAUUUGAAGAUAACGAAAAAAAAGAACGUGGUCUGCAUUAUCGUUUUCUUGAUUUUCUUUAUUAAUUCUUAUUUGUUUAUUUUAUCAAAUUAUGAUACUAGUUUUUGAUAUAUUGAGAUAGGAAAUUAAUUAUUGGGUGUAUAUUAUAUGAUUUAGCAUUGAAUCUAGGGUAUUGGAGAGGUUAGGUUAAGUUCUUGGCUUGAAAUUUGACGAAUUGGCAUAAAAUUAUACCAAGAUUUGACGCUUGAUUAGAGAUAUGAAUGAGUUUAGGGUCUAUGAUAUAUAUAUAAUAAUAUGAAUGUCUACAAACUCGCUUAUUUAUGAAUAUUGCAUCAUUGGUAGAUCGUGAACAUUACAAACUUUGCAAAAAGGGAAGGAACUAUCUUGAAGAUUCGUGACACGAAUUUUGCACUUGAGGUAUGUUAAGACUUUUUAGACUUGUUGAAGGACGUUUUCCUAAUUAAAGAUUAAAAAAAUGAAAAUAGACAAGGGGUAAGGGGGAAAGAUGGUGGUCUCGUAUCAAUGGUGUGACGGGCAUUGGUACGAGUACCGGUGUUAUAAAAAGGAAAAUUUCUAUUAUAGAAUGUGGAUUGAAUUUGAGAAUGCCAAAGCAUAUGGGCAUUAGCUGAUAUAUUAUUGACUUGAAUUCCUUGUGUGAUUGUGUUUUAUUUAAUUCACCCGUAUAGUUGUGAUAAUUGAGGUGGUUAUGUAUUAUGUUCAUAUUGAUUGAUUGAGAUGCAUCAUCAUCCCCUUUAUUGAAAUAAUAUUGUGCACAUGCAUAGACAUGAGACUGAGUAUAAGUUGGGCACGUGGAGAUCGUCCGUGCUGGGGAUGGUGAGAUGUUAAGAUUGUAAUUUGGGCACGUGGAGACCGUCCGUGCGAAAAUUGUUUGAUAUUAUGAUAGUGCGUUGAGAUCGUCCGCACAGACACGUGGAGAUCGUCCGUGUCGGUAUAUGGACCUCGCGAGUCCCCCAUGGGUCAUGAACUCUCGAUGUAUUUCCGAGGAGUAUCAUGUAUAUACGGUUGAGUGAGUACUGGGUAUUCUGAGACAUAUCAUUACAUGGCAUCAUAUUGCAUUGCAUUUCAUCCCAUCAUUCUUUCUUGAUGACUAUAGGUUUCGUUUGGUGUUUGGAAAAUAUUAAAUGUUGAUUUCCUUUAUUGAUGAAACUUAAGUAGUAAGUGUAAUAUAUAUAUAUAUAUAUAUACUUGUACAAUCUAAGAAAUUAUUUUCUUAUAUAACUCCCGUCACUACUUCUUCGUGGUCGGUCAAUGAGAC
rnacentral:lncRNA from 1 species